rnacentral:rRNA from 1 species
GUUUGAUCCUGGCUCAGAACGAACGCUGGCGGCGUGCCUAACACAUGCAAGUCGAACGAGAAUGCAGGCUUCGGUCUGCUAGUAAAGUGGCGCACGGGUGAGUAACACGUGGGUAACGUACAUCGUAGUGGGGGAUAACCAGGUGAAAGCUUGGCUAAUACCGCAUGAGUCCGUCGGGACGAAGGUUCUGACGGGGAAAGUGGAGCAAUCCACGCUACGAGAUCGGCCCGCGGCCCAUUAGCUAGUUGGUGAGGUAACGGCCCACCAAGGCGACGAUGGGUAGCUGGUCUGAGAGGAUGAUCAGCCACAGUGGAACUGAGACACGGUCCAGACUCCUACGGGAGGCAGCAGUGGGGAAUUUUGCGCAAUGGGCGAAAGCCUGACGCAGCAACGCCGCGUGUGUGACGAAGGCCCUAGGGUUGUAAAGCACUGUGGGAAGGGAAGAAAAACGGGGUAGUACCCGUCUUGACGGUACCUUGUUAG